rnacentral:rRNA from 1 species
UUGGAUAUCCGCGUCCAAGCAGUUAGGCUGGGAAAUAGGCAAAUCCGUUUCCCGUAAGGCUGAGCUGUGAUGGCGAGCGAAAUAUAGUAGCGAAGUUCCUGAUUCCACACUGCCAAGAAAAGCCUCUAGCGAGGUGAGAGGUGCCCGUACCGCAAACCGACACAGGUAGGCGAGGAGAGAAUCCUAAGGUGAUCGAGAGAACUCUCGUUAAGGAACUCGGCAAAAUGACCCCGUAACUUCGGGAGAAGGGGUGCUCUGUUAGGGUGCAAGCCCGAGAGAGCCGCAGUGAAUAGGCCCAGGCGACUGUUUAGCAAAAACACAGGUCUCUGCGAAGCCGUAAGGCGAAGUAUAGGGGCUGACGCCUGCCCGGUGCUGGAAGGUUAAGAGGAGCGCUUAGCGUAAGCGAAGGUGCGAAUUGAAGCCCCAGUAAACGGCGGCCGUAACUAUAACGGUCCUAAGGUAGCGAAAUUCCUUGUCGGGUAAGUUCCGACCCGCACGAAAGGCGCAACGAUCUGGGCACUGUCUCAACGAGAGACUCGGUGAAAUUAUAGUACCUGUGAAGAUGCAGGUUACCCGCGACAGGACGGAAAGACCCCGUGGAGCUUUACUGCAGCCUGAUAUUGAAUGUUGGUACAGCUUGUACAGGAUAGGUAGGAGCCUUGGAAACCGGAGCGCCAGCUUCGGUGGAGGCAUCGGUGGGAUACUACCCUGGCUGUAUUGACCUUCUAACCCGCUGCCCUUAUCGGGCAGGGAGACAGUGUCAGGUGGGCAGUUUGACUGGGGCGGUCGCCUCCUAA